UACGGGGGGAGCAAGCGUUGUUCGGAUUUACUGGGCGUAAAGGGCGCGUAGGCGGUCAGCACAAGUCAGUUGUGAAAUCUCCGGGCUUAACUCGGAAAGGUCAACUGAUACUGUGCGACUAGAGUGCGGAAGGGGCAACUGGAAUUCCCGGUGUAGCGGUGAAAUGCGCAGAUAUCGGGAGGAACACCGGUGGCGAAGGCGGUUCUCUGGGCCUGUACUGACGCUGAGGAGCGAAAGCGUGGGGAGCGAACAGG
rnacentral:rRNA from 1 species